AACGUAGGAGACAAACGUUAUCCGGAGUUACUGGGCGUAAAGGGCGUGUAGGUGGUUGCGUAAGUCUGGCGUGAAAUUUUUCGGCUUAACCGGGAAAGGUCGUCGGAUACUGCGUAGCUAGAGGACGGUAGAGGCGUGUGGAAUUCCGGGUGUAGUGGUGAAAUGCGCAGAUAUCAGGAAGAACACCCGUGGCUAAGGCGGUUCUCUAGUACGGUACUGACGCUGAGACGCGAAAGCGUGGGGAGCGAACAGG
rnacentral:rRNA from 1 species